CCGGCAUGUCGGGAAGGUUGUCCUCGCGGUGCCGCGCCGCGAGCUGUCCGGGACGGUGGUGGUCACCGGUGCCACCGGUACGCUGGGC
rnacentral:tRNA from 1 species